AACACCUCUUGAGACAAGCUGGCCCAUCAAUAGAAUACGCUGAGAUCGACUUUGUUCGUUCAAGAAUGCCACAAAGAAGGCCACCGAGCCCAGAUACGGACGAAGACGAUUUUGGUAUUACAACUGAAUGGCCACUCGUUUACAACGUGGGUCUCCAGCGUAAUAAAAAGAAAUUAAAACCUACCAUAGAAUAUUCGACUACUAGUACUCCAUUGUAAGUAGAAACGAUGGAACAAAUGUCGUCUUGGAGGACAUAAAAUGGCGACUUCAACAUGAUGCAUAUCUCCGUCCUUGAAAUCCAUCGAGGAUUAUCUUCACAGUCGUCUACUUCCAUAAAUCUUUUGGAACAUGAAUCAUUAUUAACAGACAGGUGGAUGAAGACAGAUUUAGAAUCAAAAAUAAAUAAUAAUAAUAAUAAAAUAGCAGUCCUCAUUCACGUUGAUAAAUUCAACUGUCAUAAAAGAGGAUCGGGAACAUCACUGCCACAUUUG